rnacentral:rRNA from 1 species
UACGGGGGGGGCAAGCGUUGUUCGGAAUUACUGGGCGUAAAGGGCUCGUAGGCGGCCAACUAAGUCGGAUGUGAAAUCCCCAGGCUCAACUUGGGAACUGCAUCCGAUACUGGAUGGCUUGAAUUCGGGAGAGGGAUGCAGAAUUCCAGGUGUAGCGGUGAAAUGCGUAGAUAUCUGGAGGAAUACCGGUGGCGAAGGCGGCAUCCUGGACCGACAUUGACGCUGAGGAGCGAAAGCCAGGGGAGCAAACGGG